rnacentral:rRNA from 1 species
AGAGUUUGAUCCUGGCUCAGAUUGAACGCUGGCGGCAUGCCUAACACAUGCAAGUCGAACGGAAACGAUGGGAGCUUGCUCCCAGGCGUCGAGUGGCGGACGGGUGAGUAAUACUUAGGAAUCUGCCCAUUAGCGGGGGACAACUCGGGGAAACUCGAGCUAAUACCGCAUACGCCCUACGGGGGAAAGCGGAGGACCUUUCGGGGCUUCGCACUAAUGGAUGAGCCUAAGCCGGAUUAGCUAGUUGGUAGGGUAAAAGCCUACCAAGGCAACGAUCCGUAGCUGGUCUGAGAGGACGAUCAGCCACACUGGGACUGAGACACGGCCCAGACUCCUACGGGAGGCAGCAGUGGGGAAUAUUGAACAAUGGGCGAAAGCCUGAUUCAGCAAUGCCGCGUGUGUGAAGAAGGCCUGCGGGUUGUAAAGCACUUUCAGUAGAGAAGAAAAGCCUACGGUUAAUACCCGUGGGUCUUGACGUAACCUACAGAAGAAGCUCCGGCUAACUCCGUGCCAGCAGCCGCGGUAAUACGGAGGGAGCGAGCGUUAAUCGGAAUUACUGGGCGUAAAGCGCGCGUAGGCGGCUUUGUCAGUCGGAUGUGAAAGCCCUGGGCUCAACCUGGGAAUUGCAUUCGAUACUGCAGAGCUAGAGUAUGGUAGAGGGAAGUGGAAUUUCCGGUGUAGCGGUGAAAUGCGUAGAUA